GACGAACGCUGGCGGCGUGCCUAAUACAUGCAAGUAGAACGCUGAAGAGAGGAGCUUGCUCUUCUUGGAUGAGUUGCGAACGGGUGAGUAACGCGUAGGUAACCUGCCUUGUAGCGGGGGAUAACUAUUGGAAACGAUAGCUAAUACCGCAUAACAAUGGAUGACACAUGUCAUUUAUUUGAAAGGGGCAAUUGCUCCACUACAAGAUGGACCUGCGUUGUAUUAGCUAGUAGGUGAGGUAACGGCUCACCUAGGCGACGAUACAUAGCCGACCUGAGAGGGUGAUCGGCCACACUGGGACUGAGACACGGCCCAGACUCCUACGGGAGGCAGCAGUAGGGAAUCUUCGGCAAUGGGGGCAACCCUGACCGAGCAACGCCGCGUGAGUGAAGAAGGUUUUCGGAUCGUAAAGCUCUGUUGUAAGUCAAGAACGAGUGUGAGAGUGGAAAGUUCACACUGUGACGGUAGCUUACCAGAAAGGGACGGCUAACUACGUGCCAGCAGCCGCGGUAAUACGUAGGUCCCGAGCGUUGUCCGGAUUUAUUGGGCGUAAAGCGAGCGCAGGCGGUUUGAUAAGUCUGAAGUUAAAGGCUGUGGCUCAACCAUAGUUCGCUUUGGAAACUGUCAAACUUGAGUGCAGAAGGGGAGAGUGGAAUUCCAUGUGUAGCGGUGAAAUGCGUAGAUAUAUGGAGGAACACCGGUGGCGAAAGCGGCUCUCUGGUCUGUAACUGACGCUGAGGCUCGAAAGCGUGGGGAGCGAACAGGAUUAGAUACCCUGGUAGUCCACGCCGUAAACGAUGAGUGCUAGGUGUUGGAUCCUUUCCGGGAUUCAGUGCCGCAGCUAACGCAUUAAGCACUCCGCCUGGGGAGUACGACCGCAAGGUUGAAACUCAAAGGAAUUGACGGGGGCCCGCACAAGCGGUGGAGCAUGUGGUUUAAUUCGAAGCAACGCGAAGAACCUUACCAGGUCUUGACAUCCCGAUGCUAUUUCUAGAGAUAGAAAGUUACUUCGGUACAUCGGUGACAGGUGGUGCAUGGUUGUCGUCAGCUCGUGUCGUGAGAUGUUGGGUUAAGUCCCGCAACGAGCGCAACCCCUAUUGUUAGUUGCCAUCAUUCAGUUGGGCACUCUAGCGAGACUGCCGGUAAUAAACCGGAGGAAGGUGGGGAUGACGUCAAAUCAUCAUGCCCCUUAUGACCUGGGCUACACACGUGCUACAAUGGUUGGUACAACGAGUUGCGAGUCGGUGACGGCAAGCUAAUCUCUUAAAGCCAAUCUCAGUUCGGAUUGUAGGCUGCAACUCGCCUACAUGAAGUCGGAAUCGCUAGUAAUCGCGGAUCAGCACGCCGCGGUGAAUACGUUCCCGGACCU
rnacentral:rRNA from 1 species